AUUUUAACAAACAAAAAUAAGCGUCAGAACCGAAAAGCGAAUUACGUAUGACAUAUUUUGAAUAAAAUGAUGCCGUCCUUCACAUUGGACAUUCACAUCCAAUUCGCAAGAAGUCAAAGUCAAGAUCACAUAAUACCUUACUAAUAAAUACUUCAUUCCCAUAAAUAAAUUAAAUAUUUCUUUAAAAUAUUUUCAAAUUUGUCACAGUUUACUUCGGAAACAUCAGAAAUAUCUAAAAUGCUUUCCUUAACCAAAUCCAUUACCCUCGUCGCCUUGGUGGCUUAUGCCGGAAGCCUUGUUCUACCUGUGGAGUCAACCCCCAUAACUAUUGGAGCAACUGUCUGCUCCCCUGUGGGCGCGGUGAACACGACGAUCAUUGGUCAGCUGAACGUGACCUGCGUUUGCCAGGAGACGCAAGUCACCUUAGUCUUCAUCGAAUACGACAUCACCGCCUGGAAUUGCACCCUCUCCCUCGUCAACAAUGCCACCACCACGACCACGACCCCUGCCCCCACCACGCCUGCCCCUUAAUCAUCAGCCCUAUCUCCAUCUCAAUAUAUGAGAUAUGUACAUAUAUCUAUGUAUAUUUCUACUUAAUUAAAUUUUGUUUAACCUCCCAGUUGAUUAAUUAAA